UUGAUAUAAUUAGAUUAUACUUCUUUUGUUUUUAUUAUAAAAUGAAAUUAGAAAAUAAGCAGGUGUAUCACCAGUUACGCGUAGCCUCGGUGUUUUGAGUGCAGAUAAAAACAGAGUGUACAAGUUAGGUUUAUAAAACAAAGGCAUCGAUGGAUUUGGGGAAAAGGAAUAGAGCUAGGGUUUCGAGAGUUUCAGUCCAAUCGAACCAUUCGAAUCAAUCAGGCGAGGUUUAUUUUGUGUGCGUGUCUUCAAUUGUGUGUGUAUAUCUGUAUCUAGUCUUGUGUAUGGGUAUAAGUCUGUGGUGUUGAAUCGGAGGUUGAGUAUGGCGGCAGGUUAUGGAGGAGAAGAGGAGAAAGGGUGCGAUGGUGGUGGUGUUGAUUGUUUUGGCUGCAGCGCGGUAGCAGCCGUGUGUGGCGGCGAUGGAAAACAGGGGCGCUGCGUUUGAUUCCCAGUGGCUGCGGGGAUGAGAAAGAUGAAGUCGAGAGGGAUGGCUGCUUGGUGGUGAGAUGAUAGAAAUGGGAGGGUUUGAAGGUUGUGGUUGCUGAGAUUACAAGCAGGAGGCUGUUGGUGGUCUGGGGAGGUAGCGGUGACUCGACACUGGCGGGACUGAUCGGGGAUUACUGCAGUUGGCUUUGCGACUCCUGAGGAUAGAUUGAAAGGAAAGUCAGGGAGACGAGAGAGGUGGGUAUGAUGUAGUAGGAGGCCAGGAGCAGGGGAAGUGAAAUACAGGGAGAGUAAUCGGAGUCACAACAGUUGUGUGGCUGCGGGUGGUGCUGAGGUUGCAGGCCCGAAGUGGUUGUUGGUGGCUGUUUGUGGGGUUUGAAACAGAGGCUGUUAGGUAGUAGUGGUGGUGGUUCCAGACAGAGGUGGGAGUAGUGCAACAUGAUGAAAGAAUAAGAUGGGCGUAGAGAAUGGCUUAAUUGUGUGAUGAAGUCAAGGAAAUGGGAUAUAAUGGAGACUGAGCUACAAACUGGCUAGAGAAUAGAACAAUUUAGAGGUGUGCGUACAGAAUUGAGUUUCUGAAUUGGGUGGCUGAAUUCUUUGUUCCUGGCUGUGAGGAGAGGCCAAUGGAGGUGGGUGAUAGUUGUUUAACAGUGUUGGAUAGUCUUGUGAGUAGCUACCAUCGCGGUGGGGUUGCAAAGCUUUUCGGAACCUAGAAAUGAAAUAAAUAUUGAUUAAAUAUUAAUUAUUAAUGGAUAUUAGGAUUAUUUAUAUUAUUAUUAUUAUCAAUUCUUUUGAUGAUAAUAAUGAUAAUCAAUAAUUUUAAUACUAUUAAUAAUCAAUAAGUGAUUAAUGUAAAUUCCAUUUUUAUAUUCUGAUUAGUAAAUAAGUCUACCGAGAUGCGUGCAUUCAACGACUUUCAGAAUCAAGCCUAUAUUGUUGAAAGUCAAGUCAGAAAUAGUUGAUAAGGCCAGUUACGCCGUAUGAUAGUCCAGUAGAAAGUAGUCUUUGCAGAGAAUAGCAAUGUUGAGGGCAUUAUAGAAACCUCGAGUAGAGAGACUGUGUGUCACCAGUUUCUGUCAAAGGCAAGUAUUCCUAUUCUUCUCUUUUAUUUAAAGAGCAAAUAUUUCAAUUCCCUCUUGUAAGCAAGUUUGCAAUUAUGACUUGUACUUCCUGCAAGCAUGUUUCUGAUAUUUAAAAGUGCAAAUACUUUUAUCUUGUCUUGUGAUUUAAAAUAUCGAAUAUCUUUAGUUCGAUACUUUUUACUGUUAUAUGAACAGUAACAACUUUAUUUGAAAAGCAUUCUGAUUAUUUUAAUCAGUUUUCUGAAAGAUUAUUGUCUGAGUUCUUUUACAGUUUGGAACUAUUGAUGACUCUAUAGUAGUCAUAUUUCGGUACUACAAUAUAUGCCUGGUCUUCUGUCCCAGACAUAAAUCCUGGAUUUUAAAUAAUUAAAUAGUUUUGUUUUUCCGUUGAGCCGUAUUACGGUGGAUUUUUAAAUUGUACUCAGACUUUAAUGAAAUUUAUUUUGACAGUAUUUUGAGUUUGAAAACUAAAGAGUUUCAGAAAGGUUUUGAAAGGAUGAUUUUAUGGCGUAAGGGGCUAUUUAAUACUCCAGCCAGAUAGACCAGCAAAAUAUUGUUUUGAGAACAGGUGUUAAUCAUCUGCUUCCGGAAGAAAUCGGAAGAUUUCUUUGUUUUUGCAUAGGUGGCCGGGACGGCGGUCCAGCGAAGGGCUAGGUAUUAUAUGAAAUAUGUAUAAUACCAUUUCUGCCAAAGGCCAAUGUGUUGCCUUCUGUUUGGUACCUAUUGUUUGGAUCUGCUUCUACGAAGCAUGAUUCGGUGCUAUCACUGGAUUUCCUGAUCAGCUGUGAUAGUACGUCCGUUGUUUAAAACCUGGUCAUUAUUAUUUAAGCUUAUGAGAGCUUAUGUUUACUGUCAAAUAUAUCUUGUGAAAUUUCAAGCAUAUUGAUAUAUAUCUUUGAUAAACUUUUGAUUUACAAUUGUUAAUAUUUAUUUCAAAUACUCUGAUUUAAUCCAAGAAAAUUUAUAUCUUGUCACUCUUGCCUUUCUUAUUAUCUUGCUGAGUAUUUUCGCUCACUCUUGCUAUUAUUUCUAACCCUUUCAGCUAGGGAUUGAGAUGUCACAUAUAUAAGCUACGCGUAAGAUUGAUUCUAGGCAAGAUUACCAGGGAGGCGUCUGCAAGCAUAGUUAUGAUUAGAAUUGAUUUAUUUCAAUUCAGUUGUAAAUAGAUUUAUUUAUUUGGUUAUCGGUUACUCUUCUUAUCGAAGUUUAUCUGAUAAUGUAGUUUAAGUUGUAAUAAGAUUUGUUAGUUUUGGUUUCUGAUUUCA